rnacentral:rRNA from 1 species
CACGUAGGGGGCAAGCGUUGUCCGGAUUUAUUGGGCGUAAAGAGCUCGUAGGCGGCUCAGUAAGUCGGGUGUGAAACCUCCAGGCUCAACCUGGAGACGCCACCCGAUACUGCUGUGGCUUGAGUCCGGUAGGGGAGCGUGGAAUUCCUGGUGUAGCGGUGAAAUGCGCAGAUAUCAGGAGGAACACCAGCGGCGAAGGCGGCGCUCUGGGCCGGAACUGACGCUGAGGAGCGAAAGCGUGGGGAGCGAACAGG